rnacentral:rRNA from 1 species
UACAGAGGGUGCGAGCGUUGUCCGGAAUCACUGGGCGUAAAGGGCGCGUAGGUGGCGCUGCAAGUCGGUGGUGAAAGCUCGUCGCUUAACGACGAGUCGGCCAUCGAAACUGCAGGGCUGGAGCACUGUAGGGGCAGAUGGAAUUCCGGGUGUAGCGGUGAAAUGCGUAGAUAUCGAGAGGAACACCUGCGGCGAAGGCGGGUUGCUGGGCUGACACUGACGCUGAGGCGCGAAAGCUAGGGGAGCGAACGGG